rnacentral:rRNA from 1 species
GACGAACGCUGGCGGCGUGCCUAAUACAUGCAAGUAGAACGCACAGGAUGCACCGUAGUUUACUACACCGUAUUCUGUGAGUUGCGAACGGGUGAGUAACGCGUAGGUAACCUGCCUGGUAGCGGGGGAUAACUAUUGGAAACGGUAGCUAAUACCGCAUAAGAACAUUUACUGCAUGGUAGAUGUUUAAAAGGUGCAAAUGCAUCACUACCAGAUGGACCUGCGUUGUAUUAGCUAGUAGGUGAGGUAACGGCUCACCUAGGCGACGAUACAUAGCCGACCUGAGAGGGUGAUCGGCCACACUGGGACUGAGACACGGCCCAGACUCCUACGGGAGGCAGCAGUAGGGAAUCUUCGGCAAUGGGGGGAACCCUGACCGAGCAACGCCGCGUGAGUGAAGAAGGUUUUCGGAUCGUAAAGCUCUGUUGUUAAGGAAGAACGAGUGUGAGAAUGGAAAGUUCAUACUGUGACGGUACUUAACCAGAAAGGGACGGCUAACUACGUGCCAGCAGCCGCGGUAAUACGUAGGUCCCGAGCGUUGUCCGGAUUUAUUGGGCGUAAAGCGAGCGCAGGCGGUUAGAUAAGUCUGAAGUUAAAGGCAGUGGCUCAACCAUUGUAGGCUUUGGAAACUGUUUAACUUGAGUGCAGAAGGGGAGAGUGGAAUUCCAUGUGUAGCGGUGAAAUGCGUAGAUAUAUGGAGGAACACCGGUGGCGAAAGCGGCUCUCUGGUCUGUAACUGACGCUGAGGCUCGAAAGCGUGGGGAGCGAACAGG